AUGUCACCAGGGUCAGGGACCCCCCAGACUGAGCCCACCGCUCUCUGUCCUUCCUCCCCAGGGCUGCGGGCAGCCGAGACCUUGGAUGAGUCCGGAGGGGGCCUCGUGAGUCCCGGGGGGUCCCUGACCCUGGUCUGCAAGGGCUCCGGCUUCACCUUCAGCAGCUACACCAUGUAUUGGGUGCGACAGGCACCCGGGAAGGGGCUCGAGUUCGUCGCGAGUAUUGAGAACGAUGGUAGUGGCACUUACUACGCGCCGGCGGUGAAGGGACGCUUCACCAUCUCCAGGAACAACGGGCAGAGCACGGCCACCCUGCAGAUGAACAGCCUCAAGGCCGAAGACACCGCCACCUACUACUGCGCGAGAAGUUAUGCUCGUACUGGUUGUACUGGUAUUGAUUGGAUUGAUGCUGUUGCUGGUGCUGCUUGUGCUGCUGGUGCUGCUGGUCUCAUCCACAGCCCAUGGCAAGGUCCCAACACAACUCAUCCCAGCUCUGCCUGCGUGUUGGUCUGCUACUACUGCUCGUAACGGGGUCGUGCCAUG